CAAUAGCGUGUAUUAAAGUUGUUGCAGUUAAAAAGCUCGUAGUUGGAUUUCUGGUGGGAGCGAUCGGUCUGGCGCUUAGCGCGAGUACUUGCAUCGUCUCCGGCCAUCCUUGGGGAGAGUCUGUCUGGCAUUAGGUUGUCGGGCAGAGGAUCCUCAUCGUUUACUGUGAAAAAAUUAGAGUGUUCAAAGCAGGCUUAUGCCGUUGAAUAUAUUAGCAUGGAAUAAUAAGAUAGGACUUUGGUACUAUUUUGUUGGUUUGCGCACCAAAGUAAUGAUUAAUAGGGACAGUUGGGGGCAUUCGUAUCCCGUUGUCAGAGGUGAAAUUCUUGGAUUUACGGAAGACGAACUACUGCGAAAGCAUUUACCAAGGAUGUUUNCAUUA
rnacentral:rRNA from 1 species